rnacentral:rRNA from 1 species
UACGUAGGGGGCAAGCGUUGUCCGGAUUUAUUGGGCGUAAAGAGCGUGUAGGCGGCUUGGUAGGUCCGCUGUGAAAACUCGAGGCUCAACCUCGAGAUGUCGGCGGAAACCACUUGGCUAGAGUCCGGAAGAGGAGAAUGGAAUUCCCGGUGUAGCGGUGAAAUGCGCAGAUAUCGGGAAGAACACCUAUGGCGAAGGCAGCUCUCUGGGACGGUACUGACGCUGAGACGCGAAAGCGUGGGGAGCGAACAGG